rnacentral:rRNA from 1 species
GAUGAACGCUGGCGGCGUGCCUAAUACAUGCAAGUCGAGCGAACAGACGAGGAGCUUGCUCCUCUGACGUUAGCGGCGGACGGGUGAGUCACACGUGGAUAACCUACCUAUAAGACUGGGAUAACUUCGGGAAACCGGAGCUAAUACCGGAUAAUAUAUUGAACCGCAUGGUUCAAUAGUGAAAGACGGUUUUGCUUUCACUUAUAGAUGGAUCCGCGCCGCAUUAGCUAGUUGGUAAGGUAACGGCUUACCCAGGCAACGAUGCGUAGCCGACCUGAGAGGGUGAUCGGCCACACUGUAUCUGAGACACGGUCCAGACUCCUACGGGAGGCAGCAGUAGGGAAUCUUCCGCGAGGGGGGAAAGCCUGACGGAGCAACGCCGCGUGAGUGAUGAAGUUCUUCUGAUCGUAAAACUCUGUUAUUAGGGAAGAACAAAUGUGUAAGUAACUAUGCACGUCUUGACGGUACCUAAUCAGAAAGCCACGGCUAACUACGUG